UAUCAUUUCAGAUGCACUACGAGCUAUGGUACUAUAAUGGUCAUCAAGGGGGAGUGUUAUGAAUAAUAGAUGGAUGCCCAUUAUAAGGUCAAUCUUCUAGAAGUUUCUAGAAUUACUUGUAUCUAGGGUUUUACUUUGUCACCAAGUAAAAUCCUUCCCAUGUACUCCUAU
rnacentral:sRNA from 1 species